rnacentral:rRNA from 1 species
AGUGAACGCUGGCGGUAGGCCAAACACAUGCAAGUCGAACGGCAGCACAGUAAGAGCUUGCUCUUACGGGUGGCGAGUGGCGGACGGGUGAGGAAUACAUCGGAAUCUACUUUUUCGUGGGGGAUAACGUAGGGAAACUUACGCUAAUACCGCAUACGACCUACGGGUGAAAGCAGGGGAUCUUCGGACCUUGCGCGAUUGAAUGAGCCGAUGUCGGAUUAGCUAGUUGGCGGGGUAAAGGCCCACCAAGGCGACGAUCCGUAGCUGGUCUGAGAGGAUGAUCAGCCACACUGGAACUGAGACACGGUCCAGACUCCUACGGGAGGCAGCAGUGGGGAAUAUUGGACAAUGGGCGCAAGCCUGAUCCAGCCAUACCGCGUGGGUGAAGAAGGCCUUCGGGUUGUAAAGCCCUUUUGUUGGGAAAGAAAAGCAGCAGGUUAAUACCCCGCUGUUCUGACGGUACCCAAAGAAUAAGCACCGGCUAACUUCGU